UUGAACGCUGGCGGCAUGCUUUACACAUGCAAGUCGAGCGGCAGCGCGGGGGCAACCCUGGCGGCGAGCGGCGAACGGGUGAGUAAUGCAUCGGAACGUAUCCUCGAGUGGGGGAUAACCCAGCGAAAGUUGGGCUAAUACCGCAUGAGCUCUGAGGAGGAAAGCGGGGGACCUGCGAGGGCCUCGCGCUGGAGGAGCGGCCGAUGUCCGAUUAGCUAGUUGGUGGGGUAAAGGCUUACCAAGGCGACGAUCGGUAGCUGGUCUGAGAGGAUGAUCAGCCACACUGGGACUGAGACACGGCCCAGACUCCUACGGGAGGCAGCAGUGGGGAAUUUUGGACAAUGGGGGCAACCCUGAUCCAGCCAUGCCGCGUGAGUGAAGAAGGCCUUCGGGUUGUAAAGCUCCUUCGGACGGAACGAAAUGGGCGGGACUAAUACUCCUGUCUGAUGACGGUACCGUAAGAAGAAGCACCGGCUAACUACGUG
rnacentral:rRNA from 1 species